CUACGGGCCGCAGCAGUGAGGAAUAUUGCACAAUGGGGGGAACCCUGAUGCAGCAACGCCGCGUGGAGGAUGACGCAUUUCGGUGUGUAAACUCCUUUUAUAUGUCAAGAAAAUGACGGUAGCAUAUGAAUAAGCGCCGGCUAACUCCGUGCCAGCAGCCGCGGUAAUACGGAGGGCGCAAGCGUUACUCGGAAUCACUGGGCGUAAAGGACGCGUAGGCGGGUUGAAAAGUCAGGUGUGAAAGCCUACAGCUUAACUGUAGAACUGCACUUGAAACUCUCAACCUAGAGUAUGGGAGGGGCAGAUGGAAUUAGUGGUGUAGGGGUAAAAUCCGUAGAAAUCACUAGGAAUACCUAAAGCGAAGGCGAUCUGCUGGAACAUUACUGACGCUAAGGCGUGAAAGCGUGGGGAGCAAACAGGAUUAGAUACCCGCGUAGUC
rnacentral:rRNA from 1 species